rnacentral:rRNA from 1 species
UACGAAGGGGGCUAGCGUUGUUCGGAAUUACUGGGCGUAAAGCGCACGUAGGCGGACAUUUAAGUCAGGGGUGAAAUCCCAGAGCUCAACUCUGGAACUGCCUUUGAUACUGGGUGUCUUGAGUAUGGAAGAGGUGAGUGGAAUUCCGAGUGUAGAGGUGAAAUUCGUAGAUAUCGAGAGGAACACCGGUGGCGAAGGCGGCCAACUGGACGAAUACUGACGCUGAGACUCGAAAGCGUGGGAGCAAACAGG